GCAAGUCGAGCGGAAACAGAAAGAAAGCUUGCUUUCUUUGCUGUCGAGCGGCGGACGGGUGAGUAAUGCCUAGGGAACUGCCCAGUCGAGGGGGAUAACAGUUGGAAACGACUGCUAAUACCGCAUACGCCCUACGGGGGAAAGGAGGGGACCUUCGGGCCUUUCGCGAUUGGAUGUACCUAGGUGGGAUUAGCUAGUAGGUGGGGUAAUGGCUCACCUAGGCGACGAUCCCUAGCUGUUCUGAGAGGAUGAUC
rnacentral:rRNA from 1 species